rnacentral:rRNA from 1 species
GAUGAACGCUGGCGGCGUGCCUAAUACAUGCAAGUCGAGCGAACAGACGAGGAGCUUGCUCCUCUGACGUUAGCGGCGGACGGGUGAGUAACACGUGGAUAACCUACCUAUAAGACUGGGAUAACUUCGGGAAACCGGAGCUAAUACCGGAUAAUAUAUUGAACCGCAUGGUUCAAUAGUGAAAGACGGUUUUGCUGUCACUUAUAGAUGGAUCCGCGCCGCAUUAGCUAGUUGGUAAGGUAACGGCUUACCAAGGCAACGAUGCGUAGCCGACCUGAGAGGGUGAUCGGCCACACUGGAACUGAGACACGGUCCAGACUCCUACGGGAGGCAGCAGUAGGGAAUCUUCCGCAAUGGGCGAAAGCCUGACGGAGCAACGCCGCGUGAGUGAUGAAGGUCUUCGGAUCGUAAAACUCUGUUAUUAGGGAAGAACAAAUGUGUAAGUAACUAUGCACGUCUUGACGGUACCUAAUCAGAAAGCCACGGCUAACUACGUGCCAGCAGCCGCGGUAAUACGUAGGUGGCAAGCGUUAUCCGGAAUUAUUGGGCGUAAAGCGCGCGUAGGCGGUUUUUUAAGUCUGAUGUGAAAGCCCACGGCUCAACCGUGGAGGGUCAUUGGAAACUGGAAAAACUUGAGUGCAGAAGAGGAAAGUGGAAUUCCAUGU